AAACUAACAGAAAAUACAAAAACAUGAUCCGGACCACGGAUCAUGACACAUUUUGACAUUUCCUGAAAGUUUAAUUAAAAUGUGCCCAUAACUUUUGGAGAUAUCUGUAGCAAAAUGAAAGAAACAGUGAAAACUCUUGACCGACAUCCACUGUCUUUGUCUCUGUGGGUGGAGGCGGUCCGCUCGCAUACACACACAGAAGUCAAGUGCUCGUAACGAAAACAUAAGGUAACAUACUAGAAAUAAUCAGGACGGCCGCAAAAUGUAAUCAUGUGUUCCUUAUCCCAUUUCGGAUAUUUCCUAAUGACUUUUUGAGCUAUAUUUAAAGUGAACGCUCUUGUCGGUCAUUCACGGUCUUUGUCUGUGCCGGACCGAUAGAAUGCGCACACAGACACACACAUAAGCAUAAACCUAAGGUAACAUAGUAAAAAUCAGGCACAAAAUGUCAUCAGUUGUUCCUUACCCCAAUUGAGACAUUUCCUGAAAGUUUCAGGAAAAUCUGAGUGUUUUGCUGAUUAACAGACAAACCAUCGUCAACGAGUACCGUAUUUUCCGGACCAUAGGGCGCACCGGAUUAUAAGGUGCACUGCUGAUGUAUGGCGCACCAGAUUAUAAAGGAGUCAUAUUAUUAUUUAUUUUUUCUGAAUUGAAAACACUUCCUUGUGGUCUACAUGACAUGUAAUGGUGGUUCUUUGGUCAAAAUGUUGCAUAGAUUAUGUUUUACAGAUCAUCGUCAAGCCGCUUUCUGACAGUCGCUUCAGGAUGCGCCGUUUUGCGGGCGGUCUUAUUUACGUGGCUCACCUUCGACAGCGUCUUCUCCCCGUCAUCUUUGUUGUAGCGGCGUAGCGUGCAAGGACGGGAGUGGAAGAAGUUUCAAAUGAUGGAGCUAACUGUUUUGAUGACAUUCAGACUUUACUUCAAUCAAUAACGGAGCAGCAUCUCCUCAUCCGUAAACAACAACACAGGAAAUGUGUUAUUAGAGGAACUCUCUAAUAACUAAAGUUCCUUGAGUGAAUAAUGUAAAGUCAUUACACCGGUAGUUUUUAGCGCGUUCAUGGCGAGUUUACUGACAGAUAUAAGUAAGAACUUUACACUACUUUAUAUUAGAAAUGGCAACAGCGGAGGAUGAAUGUCACAUAACAAGAAGAUAGAGAAAAAGAAGAAGCUUAUCGACUACGGUGUCGCACGGUCUACAAAGGCGGCCGCUUGCAAUUUUUCAGGAUUUAUGCAGAUCCCAAAUACAGAACAGCCGGUACCAGAAGGUAAAAAAAGUUGCUUUUGCAUAAUAUUGAGAAACAAAACGGCAGAUAAUGUCUUACCUUAUACACACACCAUCAUAAUACUCGUAGGUUGAAGCACAGCACAAUCCAUCAAGUGGUGCGGCUUCAUAGCUUACCAAAGUCGUACUAAAACAUUUUGAUAGAUAUUAUUAUAUUAUAUUAUAUUUUCAAUGGAACAUAUCAAAUGUUGGUGUUGUUUACUUGAGUCACAUUGCCAUCAUAUUGCAGUCUACAUGUAUCUCUUAUGUUUGACUGCCAUCUACUGGUUUGAUUGAUUGAUUGAUUGAAUGAAAUGGUCACACUUAUCAUUACACCAUGUACCAAAUAAAAUUGCUUUGAGGUCGGUAAGCAAAACCAGAAUUAUUCCGUACAUUAGGCGCACCGGGUUAUGAGGGAAAAAAAAGAUUUUAAGUGCGCCUUAUAGUCCGGAUAAUACGGUACAUAAACUCCUGGCGGAGGUAUUAAUUAUAGUUUUAAAGAGAAGAGAGAAGGGGGAGAGCCACGCAAACACAACUUUUGUACUUUGCUACCAGUUCUUUCUGGACUUUAAUAGUGUUUGUUUAAUAGUCUUUAUCAAAGUGCUGCCACUGGCAACUUUCUUUGGCCCAAUGGUUUAUUUGGCAGGUGUACUCUUUUAAAAAAAAAAAAGAAGCACAGAGUACUUGUGGCUUUUUUUUGGGCAGUAGAUUCCGGACUGGUUUGUUUCCUGUAAUAUUUGGAUGUACGAUAACCGAGGCCAAAUGUUGAUGAAAAUUGAUUAGUUCAAAAAUGGGGCUUUCGAAAAACCGAUGUACCACAGGACCCUGUUUUAACUCAAACUUUAGUUGACGAUCGUUUGAGUUGGGACCAUACUUGCCAACCCUCCCGAAUUUCAGUGCCCCUCCCGAAAAUCUCCCGGGGCAACCAUUCUCCCGAAUUUCUCCCGAUUUCCACCCGGACAACAAUAUUGGGGGCGUGCCUUAAAGGCACUGCCUUUAGCGUCCUCUCUCACCUGAAACCUUCACCCCUUAACAGCCGCAUGCUGUCUAGGCGUCCGCUUUUUCUCCAUAUAAACAGCGUGAAAUAAUCAAAUAGUCAAAUAAUAAUGUAGCGUUGGACGGGUUUAACAAUGGUCUUUACUCGAAGAUGUCAAGAAAUGCUGAAACGUAUGAUCUUUUAACUGGUUUAAUGAUAACGUUAAUUUCAAGCACACACACACAAGUGAAUGCAUACAUACUUGGUCAACAGCCAUACAUGUCACACUGAGGGUGCCGUAUAAAUAACUUUAACACUGUUACAAAUAUGCACCACACUGUGAAACCACACCAAACAAGAAUGACAAACACAUUUCGGGAGAACAUCCGCACCGUAACACAACAUAAACACAACAGAACAAAUACCCAGAACCCCUUGCAGCACUAACUCUUCCGGGACGCUACAAUAACAUCUACGGCUUUUGGAGCUCAGUGCACAACUGCACACACAACAACAAGGAGACGAAGCAGAAGAGCGAAGAAGAGACGUGGCGACGACGAGUAAGAAGAAGAAAUACGCUUGCAAGUUCCAAAAUGAUUGGAAAAAAUAAUUUCAUUUCAUCCAGGACAGCUCGAAGGGGAAGGGGUAUGCUGCCUGCACCGCAACCACGCCACCCACCCCCAUCUCCCGAAUUCAUAGGUCUCAAGGUUGGCAAGUAUGGUUAGGACACAAGCACAAGAGCUGGAUUUUUUUAUGACUUAAAAUUGAACUUUUUGCCAAAACAAAUGUCGUUUAAAGAAAUGAUGACACGAUCUGUCGUCCCGUUCAUUUUUUUGUGUAGAUACCAGAAGACCGAAUGCGUUUUUGUUGUGCAACACUGUUCACGUAAAAGUAACUCAAUCACACCGACGUGUCGAGACAACAACGCCCAUACUCCGUUCGGCCUACAGACCCCCCCGGCCCCCUCAUCUCGGGGCCCAAUAUGUCCUGUUCCAAGCUGCAUGCGGGUUUUUUUUUUUUUUGUAAAGCGAAUCGGAUACAUGACUAAAAAAGAUCCUGAUCUAGGUACGUGUGUUUGUUCCACAUACUGUAGGGACGCUUGUAUGUUGCAUGCAGUUGUACAGUUUGCUUGUAAAUGAAUAUUAAAGAGAUCAAGAAACUGAAGCCAUUCCCGUUACAACAAGCACAUGGUCGACUCGACGCCAUGUCCCUCAGUCAGGUGCUGGACGGCUAUCAAACAGAAGCUUAUAAGAUUAUGUUGACGUUGUCCCUUUAGUCUGUAACCUCACACCCCGAUCCUGCUGUUAUUCCACUUGAUGAUGUAUACCUCCAAGGAGCUGGUGUACUAGUAAACAUGUACGGUACCAAUCAGAUCCACCUAUAUGGAAAUAUAACUUCUCUCUCAACGUAAAGACCUCAAAUAAACGCAGACGCACAGCCAGUGAUAACACUUAUCAGCCAUCCACGCCGGGUUUCUCACAGAGGGCCGCGUGGCGAGGAGUUAUUCAGGAUUCGGGACCAUGCCGUGAGACGGCAAAAAAAGGUAACAGACGUGGGUCACAAAGUCUGUAAAAGUUGUUUUUCAUUUCUCGUUUGUGCUUUAAACCCGACGUCUGAACCCAGGUCAUACCCAGUCCCUCUUUGGAAAAAAGGUUUUUAUUUGCCAGUAUUAACCGGGAAACAUUGAUUGUUUACAACGUGUGUGUUCCACCGCGAGAAAAUUGGACAAAAAGUCGUCAAGCGUUGAGUGCAGCAAUUCUUGUUUGUAUAGCAGAUGUGGCUCAGAUGAUGUGUAUGUUUUAUAUUUCGAAAAGUUAAUUUUUAUGAUUUACAAAUAAAAAGAAUGUGUGGAAGAA